GAUUAUUAGGUCAAGGCAACUUUGCUAAGGUUUAUUACGGAAGGAAUCUUGAAACGGGACAGAGUGUAGCUGUUAAGGUAAUUGACAAAGAGAAGGUUAUUAAGGCCGGACUGAUUGAACAGACGAAGAGAGAGAUAUCUGUUAUGGCACUAGUUGAACAUCCAAAUGUUCUACAGCUAUACGAGGUCAUGGCAACUAAAUCUAAGAUUUAUUUAGUCAUUGAACAUGCCAAAGGCGGUGAGCUUUUCAAAAAGUUGACAAAGGGGAGGCUCAAGGAAAAAUUAGCUAGGAAGUACUUUCAGCAAUUGAUUAGCGCU
rnacentral:misc_RNA from 1 species